UAAAUAAAAAAAACAUUGCAAGUUUUAGUCUUUGGCAAAAGCCCCCAAUGCAUGCUUUAAUCAGCAUUUGAUACCGUUAGUCAUUCGUUCAUGUGUUCAUUAUCCUAUAUGGUAGAUCCGUUUCCCCUUUCACCUCAUUUUCAAGGGAACUGAAGGGACGUCUUGCAGUUCUGCUUUCCUGAACUUUUCAUAGUUCACAGCCCUCUUAACAGCCAUCUUGUUUUGGAAGGAAGAAGAAAUGGAAGAGAUGCUUUGGAAGUAAAAGUUGUCAACGACAAGCCUGACAUCACACAGAUGAUACUUCAAAGGCCAGCACUUUUUACAGUAAACCAGGUACAUAUACAGUAAGUGUAUUCAUCCCAUGUUGUAUUUGCCAUAAUUACAAGAUUCCAACUUGGAAAAAGCAU
ensembl:lncRNA